UCGAGCUCAUGUCAGAUUGGAUGGAAACUGCAAUUUUCUAUUAGAUAAAGGUUUGGACUUUGACUGGGCCAUUCUAACAAAUGAAGAUGUUUUAAUCUAAACCAGCUCUGGCUGCAUGUUUUGGUCCUAAACCGUCUGCAGCUUCUUGGUUCCAUGUUUCCAUCAUAUCAGGACAGCUUCUCUAUUCCUGCUAGAGAAACGAACCCCCACAGCAUGACGCCACCACUACCAUGUCUUAAUCAUGGGGACGGUUUGUUCAGUUCUUUUUUUGUCUCUAAAAACGACACUGAGGGAACCGACGAACACGUGAAAAUUGCUGUUUGCAGGUUUCUUUACGUCACAUCCUUUUCCUGCAGCAGUCAGUGGAAAGAGGGCCGAUCUUCACUCAGACUGAACAAAAAGCUUUUCUUUGAGCAAACCAAACAAUCCACAUAAACAGCACACACCUACACAGAAACGAG